rnacentral:rRNA from 1 species
AUGUACGGAUCUGACUAUCAAGGCCGAUGGAUGGCUUCCUCUGUCACAAAGGAGCUAUUGCAAAGCUCAGGGGGGGCUGGGUAUUUGACCGCCGAUGUCAAGCACAGGCUUCCUGCUCCCGAAAAGGUUAUCCCCGCUCCCGAAACCAAUGAGAGCUUCGUAUUCGUUUCCCACUUCCUCCGGGGAUUAGGUCUUACUCUUGACCCUUUUGUGAGGGGGCUCAUGUUCUACUACGGGCUAGAUUUCCACGAUCUAGCUCUGGGAUCCAUCCUCCACAUCUCGUCAUUUAUCAUUGUGUGUGAAGCCUUCCUCCACAUCACCCCCCCCCCACUUCGGCUUAUGGCUCAAGACUUUCAAUGUGAAGCCGAAGAUGAUUGA